UACGAAGGGGGCUAGCGUUGCUCGGAUUGACUGGGCGUAAAGGGCGCGUAGGCGGUUUGGACAGUCAGAUGUGAAAUUCCUGGGCUCAACCUGGGAGCUGCAUUUGAUACGUUCGGACUAGAGUGGGGAAGAGGGUCGUGGAAUUCCCAGUGUAGAGGUGAAAUUCGUAGAUAUUGGGAAGAACACCGGUGGCGAAGGCGGCGACCUGGUCCUUGACUGACGCUGAGGCGCGAAAGCGUGGGGAGCAAACAGG
rnacentral:rRNA from 1 species